UACGUAGGGUGCGAGCGUUAAUCGGAAUUACUGGGCGUAAAGCGUGCGCAGGCGGUUCGUUGUGUCGGCGGUGAAAGCCCCGGGCUCAACCUGGGAAUGGCCGUUGAAACUGGCGAACUGGAGUGUGGCAGAGGGGGGUGGAAUUCCGCGUGUAGCAGUGAAAUGCGUAGAUAUGUGGAGGAACACCUGUGGCGAAGGCGCCUUGCUGGCCAAUUUCUGACGCUGAGGCGCGAAAGCGUGGGGAGCAAACAGG
rnacentral:rRNA from 1 species